rnacentral:rRNA from 1 species
AACGCUAGCUACAGGCUUAACACAUGCAAGUCGAGGGGAAACGACAUCGAAAGCUUGCUUUUGAUGGGCGUCGACCGGCGCACGGGUGAGUAACACGUAUCCAACCUGCCGUCUACUCUUGGACAGCCUUCUGAAAGGAAGAUUAAUACAAGAUGGCAUCAUGAGUCCGCAUGUUCACAUGAUUAAAGGUAUUCCGGUAGACGAUGGGGAUGCGUUCCAUUAGAUAGUAGGCGGGGUAACGGCCCACCUAGUCUUCGAUGGAUAGGGGUUCUGAGAGGAAGGUCCCCCACAUUGGAACUGAGACACGGUCCAAACUCCUACGGGAGGCAGCAGUGAGGAAUAUUGGUCAAUGGACGAGAGUCUGAACCAGCCAAGUAGCGUGAAGGAUGACUGCCCUAUGGGUUGUAAACUUCUUUUAUAAAGGAAUAAAGUCGGGUAUGCAUACCCGUUUGCAUGUACUUUAUGAAUAAGGAUCGGCUAACUCCGUGCCAGCAGCCGCGGUAAUACGGAGGAUCCGAGUGUUAUCCGGAUUUAUUGGGUUUAAAGGGAGCGUAGAUGGAUGUUUAAGUCAGUUGUGAAAGUUUGCGGCUCAACCGUAAAAUUGCAGUUGAUACUGGAUGUCUUGAGUGCAGUUGAGGCAGGCGGAAUUCGUGGUGUAGCGGUGAAAUGCUUAGAUAUCACGAAGAACUCCGAUUG